rnacentral:rRNA from 1 species
CUCCUACGGGAGGCAGCAGUAGGGAAUAUUGGUCAAUGGACGAGAGUCUGAACCAGCCAUGCCGCGUGCAGGAAGACGGCCUUCUGGGUUGUAAACUGCUUUUCUCAGGGAAGAAAAUGGUCUUGCGAGACAAAUUGCCGGUACCUGAGGAAUAAGCACCGGCUAACUCCGUGCCAGCAGCCGCGGUAAUACGGAGGGUGCGAGCGUUGUCCGGAUUUAUUGGGUUUAAAGGGUGCGUAGGCGGCCUAUUAAGUCAGUGGUGAAAGGUAUCAGCUUAACUGAUGAUGUGCCAUUGAAACUGACAGGCUUGAGUACAGACGAGGUAGGCGGAAUUUAUGGUGUAGCGGUGAAAUGCAUAGAUACCAUAAAGAACACCGAUAGCGAAGGCAGCUUACUAGGCUGAGACUGACGCUGAGGCACGAAAGCGUGGGGAGCGAACAGGAUUAGAUACCCUGGUAGUCCACGCUGUAAACGAUGAUUACUGGAUGUGUGCGAUAAACAGUACGCGUCUGAGCGAAAGCGUUAAGUAAUCCACCUGGGGAGUACGAUCGCAAGAUUGAAACUCAAAGGAAUUGACGG